rnacentral:rRNA from 1 species
UACGUAGGGUGCGAGCGUUAAUCGGAAUUACUGGGCGUAAAGCGUGCGCAGGCGGCGCGUUAAGACAGGUGUGAAAGCCCCGAGCUUAACCUGGGAAUUGCGCUUGAAACUAGGCUGCUUGAGUGUGGCAGAGGGGGGUGGAAUUCCACGUGCAGCAGUGAAAUGCGUAGAGAUGUGGAGGAACACCGAUGGCGAAGGCAGCCCCCUGGGUCAACACUGACGCUCAUGCACGAAAGCGUGGGGAGCAAACAGG